rnacentral:tRNA from 1 species
GUCUUCGUAGUGUAAUGGUCAAACACAUUCGGCGCCAAACCGAGAGGUCCGUGGUUCGAUUCCUGGCGAAGGCG